AUGAAGCAGUGUGAUAUCAUUGUGAAGACCUCUCAGCAGUUGAGCAACAUGAGUAAAGUCUCAAGUGCUGAGCCUUCUGGGGAAGGUACCAGGCAUGAGUCUUCUGAGGAGUGUUCCAGCCAUGGUGACCAUUACGCUGUCCCAUAUUCAUCACCCAUCAAACAGCCAGUGAUACGUCUGCCGAGGCUCCCCUUUGACAAUGAGAAGGUCAAAUUCUUCAAGGCAUUUGAAACCCUCCUGCAAACUUACCUUCUUUCACUGAAUGGGAAAAGGCCAGAAGUGAAACAACGUUGGAAUGUGUCUCAAGAAUUUCAGCGGAAGCUUCACACUUAUUGGGGGAGGAAGCAGUUGGAAAUGCAUGAAGCACAUACCCGCUGUGAGUAUUUUCUGACCAUAUUUAACAUUAUUUUCAAGUAAAAAUGAUUGCACGAUUCAAAGAUGUCUAUUAUUGCAUUCAUGACUAACAGAACUUUUGUUAUUUAUUUUGACAGCAAACUUCAGUCGGCGUGAGCCAACAAAAGAGCGACUCGAAGCGUGGAUUAAAAGGCAGGGAUGGAAGAUGACUGCCGGCAUCAGCGAUGAAGUUCUUAAGAACUGGGCACCAUCUGGAUCUGAGGACUGUAUCACGGACAGCAAACAGAUACAGAAAUUGGUGCGAACACAGAAGUGGAGAGGACUUCACAUGAGUGAAUUUGAAGGCAAGGGGCAGAGGGAUCAUUACGACCCGCAUAUUUGAGGCUGGCGAGGUGCUCUGUGACUAACAUGGAACUGUUGUCACAUUCAGUGAGGGCCAGAAAAUACACCAUAGCACCACUGACAGGGAGACUGCAUAUGUCUUCUUUUUCAAAAAUGAAAAAAGGAGAGUCAGUGUGCAUUGACGCCCACUCAGACACCUGUGAUUGCCACCCUGCGAUGCAGACUUUGGCAGGUUGAUCAAUCAUUCCAAAAAGAAAGCCAACAUCACGGCAAAGUACUGCAGUAUGGAAAUGGAUGGAGAGGAAAGGGGUGGAUGAGGAAGUUCUGUUUGACUAUGGAGUCAACAAGAAAUCUUUUGGUGGAGAGGCCGGAGGGCUCGACUGGCUCCCGUAGCCUGCUGGGCAUCGGCCUUCACAUUCUGGUGUCCACUGGUAUCUUGUAGCUCGCAUAAACGGAGCACAAGUUAUCACGGUCCAACCCAAAAUAAUUCAUUGGAUAGGUGUCCACUGGUAUCUUGUAGCUCUAUUGCUAUUACUAUUACUAUUAUUACCUCUCUGAAAAGUAGCCUACCCUGCAUCUGCCUUCAGACACCUCUGUUGCAUGUCCCAGACCCAGGUGAAAUGUAACUGAGUUGUCUUGGCCAGCUCUGCCUCGAUCUUCACCUCCAAAGCAUUUCACAUUCUUAACUGUAUACUACUGUCUACACUGCAAUGUAUGUCUUACAUUGUUUAUACUGCACCACCUGUCUAUAUUGUAUAUAUCACAUUGCACCUUGCUUUUUUGCUCUUCUAGUUAGAUUCUAACUGCAUCUUCUGCCUAUGUACAUGUACUCUGCAAAAUGACAAUACAUGUUGUCACUGUACUUUUUGAAUAUGUCUGUUAUUAAAGUGUGUCUAUGAUAGACAGAUUGUGUAUAGCAUUACCA
rnacentral:lncRNA from 1 species